rnacentral:rRNA from 1 species
UACGAAGGGGACUAGCGUUGUUCGGAAUUACUGGGCGUAAAGCGCGCGUAGGCGGAUCGCUAAGUCAGGGGUGAAAUCCCAGAGCUCAACUCUGGAACUGCCUUUGAUACUGUCGAUCUGGAGUAUGGAAGAGGUGAGUGGAAUUCCGAGUGUAGAGGUGAAAUUCGUAGAUAUUCGGAGGAACACCAGUGGCGAAGGCGGCUCACUGGUCCAUUACUGACGCUGAGGUGCGAAAGCGUGGGGAGCAAACAGG